rnacentral:tRNA from 1 species
GAGGGUAGAGCUCAGUGGUAGAGCGCAUGCCUAGCAUGCAUGAAGUCCUGGGUUCAAUCCCCAGUACUUCCA